GCCUUAUACAUGCAAGUCGAACGAAGUAGCAAUACUUAGUGGCAGACGGGUGAGUAACAUGUAGGUAUCUUCCCUUUGGUGAGGAAUAACACGAGGAAACUUGUGCUAAUACCUCAUAAGUCUUAACGGAGAAAGCUUUAUGCGCCGAAGGAUGAGCCUGCACUUGAUUAGUUUGUUGGUGGGGUAAUGGCCUACCAAGACUUUGAUCUAUAGCUGAUCUGAGAGGAUGAUCAGCCACAUUGGGACUGAGACACGGCCCAAACUCCUACGGGAGGCAGCAGUAGGGAAUAUUGCACAAUGGAGGAAACUCUGAUGCAGCGAUGCCGCGUGAGUGAAGAAGGCCUUUGGGUUGUAAAGCUCUUUCGUCGGGGAAGAAAAUGACUGUACCCGAAUAAGAAGGUCCGGCUAACUUCGUGCCAGCAGCCGCGGUAAUACGAAGGGACCUAGCGUAGUUCGGAAUUACUGGGCUUAAAGAGUUCGUAGGUGGUUAAAAAAGUUGGUGGUGAAAUCCCAGAGCUUAACUCUGGAACUGCCAUCAAAACUUUUUAGCUAGAGUAUGAUAGAGGAAAGCAGAAUUUCUAGUGUAGAGGUGAAAUUCGUAGAUAUUAGAAAGAAUACCAAUUGCGAAGGCAGCUUUCUGGAUCAUUACUGACGCUGAGGAACGAAAGCAUGGGUAGCGAAGAGGAUUAGAUACCCUCGUAGUCCAUGCCGUAAACGAUGUGUGUUAGACGUUGGAAAUUUAUUUUCAGUGUCGCAGCGAAAGCAUUAAACACACCGCCUGGGGA
rnacentral:rRNA from 1 species